CGUCUAGGCGGCAGUCUAAGUCCUGCGUGAAAGCUCCCGGCUCAACUGGGAGAGGGCGUGGGAAACUGGGCAGCUAGAGAAUCGGAGAGGGGUGUGGAAUUCCCGGUGGAGUGGUGAAAUGCGUUGAGAUCGGGAGGAACACCAGAGGCGAAGGCGGCACCCUGGCCGAGUUCUGACGCUGAAGCGCGACAGCGUGGGGAGCGAACG
rnacentral:rRNA from 1 species